CGAACAGACCGCCUUAUCGUCGUUUCGUUUUUUCGAAAGGGAGGAAAGUCCGGACACCAUAGGGAAGCGUAGCGGGUAACGCCCGUCGGUCAUAUUUUAGGAUGUGAUUAGGACAAGUGCAACAGAAAGUAUGUACAGGUAAUGCUGUAGUGAAACCAGGUAAACUCUAUGCGGUGAAAUAUCAAGUAUAUCAGCAUUUAAGGAUUUCUCGUCCGUUGUUGAAGGGUAGAUAGCUUGAGUCUCGCAGUAAUGCGUGAUCUAGAUAAAUGAUAAGGGUUCGCUUUGGCGAAUACAGAAUCCGGCUUAUAGGUCUGUUUUUUUU
rnacentral:RNase_P_RNA from 2 species